rnacentral:rRNA from 1 species
CAGUAGCCGCGGUAAUACGAAGGGGGCUAGCGUUGUUCGGAUUUACUGGGCGUAAAGGGCGCGUAGGCGGACUGAUAAGUCAGGGGUGAGAUCCCAAGGCUCAACCUUGGAACUGCCUUUGAUACUGUUUGUCUUGAGUUCGAGAGAGGUAAGUGGAACUGCGAGUGUAGAGGUGAAAUUCGUAGAUAUUCGCAAGAACACCAGUGGCGAAGGCGGCUUACUGGCUCGAAACUGACGCUGAGGCGCGAAAGCGUGGGGAGCAAACAGGAUUAGAUACCCCGGUAGUCCCUGUCUCUUAUAC